UACGUAGGGCGCAAGCGUUGUCCGGAAUUAUUGGGCGUAAAGAGCUCGUAGGCGGCUUGUCACGUCGAUUGUGAAAGCCCGAGGCUUAACCUCGGGUCUGCAGUCGAUACGGGCUAGCUAGAGUGUGGUAGGGGAAAUUGGAAUUCCUGGUGUAGCGGUGGAAUGCGCAGAUAUCAGGAGGAACACCAAUGGCGAAGGCAGAUCUCUGGGCCGUAACUGACGCUGAGGAGCGAAAGCAUGGGGAGCGAACAGG
rnacentral:rRNA from 1 species